rnacentral:sRNA from 1 species
GCGGCCGGGACGCCGAAUCUCCCGGCACGGGAGAACCGGGGACCCAGGUCCCUGGGGUGAAUCGACGCACGCGUCGUAGGGCGACUCCUGGCCCGAACCCGUCAGCUAACCCGGUAGGCGUACGAGGAGAGGAGAA